UGGGGAAUCUUGCGCAAUGGGCGAAAGCCUGACGCAGCCAUGCCGCGUGGAUGAUGAAGGUCUUAGGAUUGUAAAAUCCUUUCACCGGUGAAGAUAAUGACUGUAGCCGGAGAAGAAGCCCCGGCUAACUUCGUGCCAGCAGCCGCGGUAAUACGAAGGGGGCUAGCGUUGCUCGGAAUUACUGGGCGUAAAGGGAGCGUAGGCGGACAUUUAAGUCAGGGGUGAAAUCCCGAGGCUCAACCUCGGAACUGCCUUUGAUACUGGGUGUCUUGAGUGUGAGAGAGGUAUGUGGAACUCCGAGUGUAGAGGUGAAAUUCGUAGAUAUUCGGAAGAACACCAGUGGCGAAGGCGACAUACUGGCUCAUUACUGACGCUGAGGCUCGAAAGCGUGGGGAGCAAACAGGAUUAGAUACCCUGGUAGUCCACGCCGUAAACGAUGAUUGCUAGUUGUCGGGAAGCCUGCUUUUUCGGUGACGCAGCUAACGCAUUAAGCAAUCCGCCUGGGGAGUACGGUCGCAAGAUUAAAACUUAAAGGAAUUGACGGGGUCAUAGCUGUUUCCUG
rnacentral:rRNA from 1 species